rnacentral:tRNA from 1 species
GUCCUUCAAAGUCGUGUAUGAGCCGUUCUUUCACGGCGGUAACACGGGUUCAAAUCCCGUCGGGGACGCCA